rnacentral:rRNA from 1 species
AAUAGAUACCCGAGGUAGUCCACGCCGUAAACGAUGAGUGCUAAGUGUUAGGGGGUUUCCGCCCCUUAGUGCUGCAGCUAACGCAUUAAGCGACUCCGCCUGGGGAGUACGGUCGCAAGACUGAAACUCAAAGGAAUUGACGGGGGCCCGCACAAGCGGUGGAGCAUGUGGUUUAAUUCGAAGCAACGCGAAGAACCUUACCAGGUCUUGACAUCCCAUUGACCACUAUGGAGACAUAGUUUUCCCUUCGGGGACAACGGUGACAGGUGGUGCAUGGUUGUCGUCAGCUCGUGUCGUGAGAUGUUGGGUUAAGUCCCGCAACGAGCGCAACCCUUGUUCUUAGUUGCCAUCAUUUAGUUGGGCACUCUAAGGAGACUGCCGGUGACAAACCGGAGGAAGGUGGGGAUGACGUCAAAUCAUCAUGCCCCUUAUGACCUGGGCUACACACGUGCUACAAUGGACGGUACAAACGGUUGCCAACCCGCGAGGGGGAGCUAAUCCGAUAAAACCGUUCUCAGUUCGGAUUGUAGGCUGCAACUCGCCUACAUGGAACG